rnacentral:rRNA from 1 species
UGCAGUCGAGCGAGAUGUUAGCGCAUGAACCUUCGGGGGAUUAUGCUAACGGACAGCGGCGGACGGGUGAGUAACGCGUAGGCAACCUGCCCCUGACAGAGGGAUAGCCAUUGGAAACGAUGAUUAAAACCUCAUGACACCGUAGAAGCACAUGCUUCAUCGGUCAAAGAUUUAUCGGUCAGGGAUGGGCCUGCGUCUGAUUAACUAGUUGGUGAGGUAACGGCUCACCAAGGUGACGAUCAGUAGCCGACCUGAGAGGGUGAUCGGCCACAUUGGAACUGAGACACGGUCCAAACUUCUACGGAAGGCAGCAGUAGGGAAUCUUGCACAAUGGGCGAAAGCCUGAUGCAGCAACGCCGCGUGAAGGAUGAAGGCCUUCGGGUUGUAAACUUCUGUUCUAAGGGAAGAAACAAAUGACGGUACCUUAGGAGCAAGCCCCGGCUAACUACGUGCCAGCAGCCGCGGUAAUACGUAGGGGGCAAGCGUUAUCCGGAAUUAUUGGGCGUAAAGAGUGCGUAGGUGGUUACCUAAGCGCAAGGUUUAAUUUAGAGGCUCAACCUCUACUUGCCUUGCGAACUGGGCUACUUGAGUGCAGGAGGGGAAAGCGGAAUUCCUAGUGUAGCGGUGAAAUGCGUAGAUAUUAGGAGGAACACCAGCGGCGAAGGCGGCUUUCUGGACUGUAACUGACACUGAGGCACGAAAGCGUGGGUAGCAAACAGGAUUAGAUACCCUGGUAGUCCA